GUAGUCAUGGCCGAGUGCUUAAGGCGGUGGAUUUGGAAUCUAUUGGGGCUACCCCGCGCAGGUUCAAAUCCUGCUGAAUGCG